ACUUCUAGGCAGGCCCUGGUAAGUCCUUGCAGGAAGAGAAGCUGGCAGGCAGCCCUGGUGGCUCAGCGGUUUAGCGCCGCCUUCAGCCCAGGGCGUGAUCCCGGAGACCCGGGAUCAAGUCCCACAUCGGGCUCCCUGCAUGGAGCCUGCUUCUCUCUCGCCUAUGUCUCUGUCUCUGUCUCUCUCUCUGGGUCUCUCAUGAAUAAAUAAAAUCUUAAAAAAAAAAAAAAAGGGAAGAGAAGCUGGCAGCAGCCUGCCCUGGUACUGAGAGCAUAUCUUUCCACAGGGCUCUGGUCCUGCUGUCACCACCCAGCACCCACCGAGUCUAUCCACAGCUUCUCUCACAGGCCAAGGGCCGCACCCCAGAUCUGGCCUGGCCUGGAAGGGCAGGAAAACAACAGGCAAAGAGGUAAAGAGAGCUGGAAGCCAAGCCUAGAUUUCUCCUGUAAACCCUGGGCUCCUUCAAAUACACCUCAGCUGCUUCAAACUGAACAGAUCUGACUCUCUGAGACCUCAGUGAAAAGGUGAUCUUCUUUUUAUUCUAAGGGUCAGAGCUCUGUCUUUUACUUUCAUUCAUCAUUCUUAUUUUGAUAAUUUAACCUCAAAAAUUUAACCUCGAACCUAAUCAAAAUUAAUUAGGCAAGAUUCUCAAAUAUAAGGAGUUCCCUCUGAAAGGCGAUACAAUUUCCAAAUUGUGCAAUUUGUCGAAGGACGUCGUCAGUCAUUCACGUUUUUCAACAGACAUUUAUUGAGCAUCUACUUUACAUCAGGAACAGUGUUCAGGUAUGCUCUGGGGACUCACAGGAAAGAGGUGAGAUCAGACAAAUGAACAAAUGAAAACAGUAUAGCAAAUGCUAUGGCCAAAGAAGCACAAGGUGCUAGGGUGCUAUGAGUAGGGGGGUAGAGAGGCAAAAUUUGUUACCCCAAAAUAUGUCUCUUUGGCUUAAGGAUUAUUUUAGGUUGAUUACUUUUAAGAAACAGAAGACUCAGGAAGAACCUUUGUUCUUCCCGCUAACUGCCUAAAAGAAUUGAGAUUGAAGACCUGCUCCAGGAAGGGAGUUAUCACCAUAGAUAACUACAGUAUAAAAUGAACUAGGUGUUGUAGACACUGCUAAAUUCCUGCGGAUACUCUGUGGUUUUUUUUUUUGUUUUUUUUUAAUCUUCCUGUGAAUUGUCUUUUUUUUUUUUUCCCUUUCAGGUCCUGGACCCCCACCUUCUUCUCCUCAGCUCUAAAUGGCAUAUAAUCCUCCAUGCCUGACUGCCUGUGGGCCUCAUAGUCCCAGAUGGUAAUCCUUUUUCCAAAAUCAUCUUUUUAGGGGCAUCUGGGUGGCUCAGUGGUUGAGCGUCUGCCUUUGGCUCAGGUAGUGAUCCCAAGGUCCUGGGAUCAAGUCGCCCACCAACUGAGCCAGCCAGGCACAUCCUCUACCCGUUAUUAUUAUUGUUAUUGUUGUUUUAAAAAAAAAAAAAAAACCACAGCGAGCUCCCCACAGGGAGCCUGCUCCUCUGUCUACCUGUCUCUGCCUCUCUUUCUGUGUCUCUCAUGAAUAAAUAAAUAAAAUCUUUUUUAAAAAUCA
rnacentral:lncRNA from 12 species